UCCUUGGUGGUCCAGUGGUUAAGACUCUGCACUUCUAACUACAGGGGACAUGGGUUCAAUUCCUAGUCGGGGAA
rnacentral:tRNA from 1 species